UACGGGGGGGGCAAGCGUUGUUCGGAAUUACUGGGCGUAAAGGGCUCGUAGGCGGCCAACUAAGUCAGACGUGAAAUCCCUCGGCUUAACCGGGGAACUGCGUCUGAUACUGGAUGGCUUGAGUUUGGGAGAGGGAUGCUGAAUUCCAGGUGUAGCGGUGAAAUGCGUAGAUAUCUGGAGGAACACCGGUGGCGAAGGCGGCAUCCUGGACCAACACUGACGCUGAGUGAGCGAAAGCCAGGGGAGCAAACGGG
rnacentral:rRNA from 1 species